rnacentral:rRNA from 1 species
UACGUAGGGUGCGUGCGUUAAUCGGAUUUACUGGGCGUAAAGCGUGCGCAGGCGGCCCGUUAAGACAGGUGUGAAAUCCCUGGGCUCAACCUAGGAAUUGCGCUUGUGACUGGCGGGCUCGAGUACGGUAGAGGGGGGUGGAAUUCCUGGUGUAGGAGUGAAAUCCGUAGAGAUCAGGAGGAACACCGAUGGCGAAGGCAGCCCCCUGGGCCUGUACUGACGCUCAUGCACGAAAGCGUGGGGAGCAAACAGG